rnacentral:rRNA from 1 species
UACGUAGGGACCAAGCGUUGUUCGGAGUUACUGGGCGUAAAGGGUGUGUAGGCGGUUGUUUAAGUUUGGUGUGAAAUCUCCCGGCUCAACUGGGAGGGUGCGCCGAAUACUGAAUGACUUGGAGUGCGGGAGAGGUGAGUGGAAUUCCUGGUGUAGCGGUGAAAUGCGUAGAUAUCAGGAGGAACACCGGUGGUGUAGACGGCUCACUGGACCGUAACUGACGCUGAGACACGAAAGCGUGGGUAGCAAACAGG